CUUCCUCGCACGCACGCAGUUGUGCUGCCCCUCUUCCCCCUUUUUUCACUACCGUUGGAAUAGAUGAUGGGCACAACAGCGCGUGCUUCCGCAUACCCCAUUUUACACAACGACACGUGCACAUUUGUAGACGCUGAUAAGGCCGCGGCGUCGGCAGCUGCCUCUUGCCUCCCCCUCCCCCUGAACCUCACCUCGGCACUUGAAGCCUCACGUGCACGAUUUUGAGAAGCACGCCGCGGCACAUCGGCUACUGCCUCCGACCUUGAUUCGCCCACUUAUGUGUCGUUUUGGGCAGGCGGCGCAUCUGCUCAAAGAACACCGGUAACGAACAAUGCCACUCAGCCCGUACACCAUCGAUGUAGGUCCGUGCAAGGCAGACGGUAGGCGAGACGUCUUUCUUCAGUGGCAUCAACGCCCAUGUUUCAGCACGACGCAUCGCGGAAUCACACGGGUGUGCCUCGCAAAAUGGCCGGCGCGCUCGAGGACCGAUAUGGCGCGGGAGACGAACGACGUGGAUGAGAGUGAGGCACUGCGAGCACAGCGAACUGAGCAGGUGUAUCAGACCCUGCUCGAGUUCGGCGAUCCACAGGGCCCGCCCACGUCACCUCAGCUGAUGUGCUCUGACCAUGAUGCGGCCGGCAACGACAACGACGCGAGGUCUCCUUUGGAGCAGUAUCUGUGCGUCUUUCAUCGCGAAGAACUGGCUGAUCAGUACGGCCGCUACACCUUUGUUCAGCCGCACACGAUCUGCACCGCGUACCGCAUCGCUGACUCCACCGCGCUUGAGCUGGUUCUGCACAAUAUCACGCCGACCGACAUUUCUGCCGCCGCAGCCGGCGUGUUUGUUCGUGGCCACCGUCAGUCCAACAAGGGCCUCCCAUCGAGCACGCCACUAGAGUAUCAAGGCAUUCAAUACAAGCCGGCGUCGAAUCUGUGGUGGAUGGGGGCACCUUUGUCGCUGAAGCCAGUGUACGUUGCGGUGCCGCUUGGCCCGCAGGUAGGCGCGACUGGUGGCGCGCCAAAGGGCUCAGUAGACAAGGCAUCCGGGUCGCAUGCGGACGGCAUCGCGGCGGCUGACUCUGAUCACGGUGACAAGGCUGCGGGAGACACAGUGUCGCGCCCAGUGGCUUCUCCCAUCGCCGUCGGCGCCGACGACGAAACAGCGCAAAAGGAGACUGGUGACAACACGAGUAGCCCCCUUCUUGUGGAACUCGGGGGCCGCACGGCACAGGGUGAGUUCGAGUUCCGGCACUCCCGCUCCUCCAGUCCCAACAUGUGCUGCCCGAGCCAGAGUGCAGUGCUCCCGGCGGAGGGGCUAGCGUCCCAGGUGGCGGCUGCCGCAUCCUCUCCGUCGUUGCCGAGGGCUUCGCUUCCUUUGUUCAGCAAUGCACAAGCUCGGCACGUUGCAGUGGAGGCGACGGUGCUGGCGCAGCUGGAGCUCUUUGACUUGACAGCCGGUAGCUGCACAUGUGCAAGCUCGCUCGCCGUCGUCCGCACGGGUGACGACGAGCUGGGUCUCGCAACGACGACACCGCAGUACGCGCUAGACUGCAUGCUGUGGCAGUGGUGGCCACACCGUGUCCGGCUGCCGCGGCUUGCCUCCGGCAACGCUGCCCUGUCGGCGGUGGCGUCGCCGCAUGCGGCACUUGAUCGCUACGCCGUUUUCGUGUACGAUGCACAUCAAAGCCGCGUGUUCGUGCUCCGCACGCCGCACCUGCGCAGCGGCACCGGUGACUUCGAGCUACUCUUCUCUUUUCCAUGUGGCAGCCUGCCAUUUGUCCUGCCGUGUUUGCGAGCGCCGCACCCAGCACCCAUCGCCGUGUGCAACUACCCCCGCCCCAACUGCAUCUCCGUCUACGAUGUCAUGGCGCUGUUGGAUGCCCCGGCGGCCACCACGGUAGCUAUGGAGCUCGACCUAGAAACGUACCAGGCGAACCACUCGGCCUUCUUCGGGAAAGUGUGCACAUCUUCAAGCGGCGAUGAUAGUGCACUUUUCGGAGGAGCUGAUAUUUUAUCGACGAACGGCAGCUCGACCCGUGGUUUCAUGCCAGCGCCUCCACUCCCCACCGGAGCUGCAGACAACGCCAUGGCGCGCUCCGUCACCGCUGCUUCAUGGAGGGCGGAUGCCAUUAACGGCGUGUCCCACCCCAUCCGCAACAUCUUGUACCACUAUCAGAAUCGCCUCGUCGUACAGUACGCCUGGCCCAGCGGCUCUGCGCAGCCGGCAGCGACGGAGGGCGCAGACGGCGCUGGUGCGGGAUUCGCGUCGUCGUGCGGUAGCGGCGAGUACGAGGCGGAUAGCGAUCAGAGUGUGCGUAGUCGCCACCGGCGCCGUCGCCGCUGCGAAGGCACGGUCUCGUUCACCGUCGAAUUCCCGGCGAUCACACUCGAUCAGGAUCCGUUGCUCGCCUUUGUGCUCGAGGCACUGAGCGCCGCCCUUGGCGCCCGCGCAGUGGCGGCUCUCGAGUACAUCCUUUUCGCGGAGCUGUGGCACCGCAAGUGCCGGGCGGCUGCCGUUGCUGAUGCCUUUGACCUUUGCGCACGGCUGCUGCGCAAGAUUUUCAGAUGUGAAUGCGGUUGCUCCGACCCGGCGCUCGCGUGUGCGAGCGCGCGGGCGGAGCUGCAGCAGGCAGCAGAAGACCCCGAGGCUACGGCGUGCGGGUCGGAGGCCAUGACGGAAGCUGCAGCGCCUCAUGUCUUUGUGGAUCCUUCGACCGUGACGCUUCAGCAGAUUCGUCGGACCAUCGCGCGGCGCCACACCGCAGACGCACCGGCGUGCUGGAGAAAGGAGGAGGAGGAGAGCAGCACCACCAGCGUCGUCAAAACCCCCAUUCCCGUCCGGCGGGGGGCGAUUGACGCGUACGCGUGGACGAGGCAAGAGCGUGGCUUGGCUUUGGUAUCACUGCAUCUGCUGUUUGAGGCGUGCCGUGCACAGGAGCAUCUCUGGCCACUGCUGCCGCGUUUGGCGAGCGUGAACCGGGACCUGAGCGACGCCUUGCAGUGGCCUUCCUACGUAGAGUACUAUGACGUUAUGUGUCCCAGGCUCUUCGCAGCCCCUCCGCCUCCGUCACAGAUAUCACCGACGCAGAGCUUUACGGACAGCCUCCCGGCGAGUGUGCUGCAAUGUCACUUCGACUCGCUGGAGAGGCCGGACAACGCCGCAGCGCUGCGAGCGUGCUGUGCCACGUCCGUGGCACCGUCAGCCGCCGAGUUCGCGAGCGGCGACGCACCGGCGCUUUUUUCGGCGCUCUCCCUCACAGCAAUGCGUAGCAGCAUCCCCAGAUCCGUUGCGGUGCCUUUUGGCACGUGGCCGCUCCUGAAGCACUUGCCAGAUGCACACCCUAUCGCACUCGUGAAUCGCGUCGUGCUCCUCUACCGCGACAUCUUCGGCGCCUCAGCGGGUUCGCUAACUGCCACUUUGGCCUCGAGCGUGGACACCAGCAGAGGGGACGUUCUGGUGGACUCGCACGUUGAUGCGACUUGGUGGCAGCGUAUCUGUAGCCUGGUUCUGCAGCGGCACAUCUCUUCGCGCGUGGUGCGGCACACCCUGAACGCCGCCGCGGCGUACCCGCUUUUGGAGGCGUUGACAAAGGGACGUGAGUGUGCCGAUUCCACGUGGCCAGCGGCACUCCUCGAACUGGUAGGCCGCCGGGACCGGUGCCCACCCACCUCGCGAACCGCGCAGAUCUCGAGCGCUGGGCAGCACGUGGUGGAGACCGCGGAGGAGAACGCCGUCUCGCGUCAGUUCCGCGUGGCUUUGGCGGACGACGACGGUGUCUCUGUGCGGCCGGACUUCCGGAAGACCUGGAGAGACUCUCGCCUCGAUAUGGUGCAGAAUCUCUUUAACACGGUCGCCCCUAUUUCGCUCUCGGGGUUCGAGGAUCGGCCGGAGGAGCUCACCGGGGCGCUUGAGCUGCUGUCCUGCCGCACGCGAGCGAUGCCGCUCGGUCGCGGCAUGCUCACAAUGUGCACGCAGAGCUUCAAGGUGCAGGAUAGCAUCCCCAUUGCACCGCUCAAUCUGAACGGGCGCACCAGCGACGGAAUCAAUGUUGCGAGCAAGCCGGCGGACGACCUCAUGUGGCCUCUUUUUCACAAUGGGUGCGCAGCCGGUCUCCGGUUUCUGCCGCUGCCGCCAGCCUUCUGCGCCGGCACAGGAGAAGCGCCGUUCGCGACGCAGGACGCGCUCGGAGACACGGAUGCAAAGGAGGCAGCUGCCCUUUCGCUUCGUAACGUCACGCAGAGCAUCACAAAACAGUGGGUCAUGUACCAGACGAAGAACAUUGGCGACCCCGCUUCGCGAGCCGGGCUCUUGCUCGCCACGGGUAUCCUCGGCCACCUCACGGUGCUGCAGCGCACGGAUAUUUUCUACCUUCUCAUCUCGCGACAGGAGCAGUACGUCUGGCGCGAGGCCACAACGAUGGCGGUGAUGCUGGGGCUGAGCUGCAGCUUCUGCGGCACCGGAAACGAGGCAGUGUUCCGCUGCCUCUCGGUGCAUGUGCAGUCGCUGAACCCGAGUGCCGAGGAUAUCGAGGUGUCCCUGGAUGUGCAGACUGCAGCGCUUGUGUCCAUGGGCCUUCUGUGCCAACAGUCGCCGUCUAACUCCUUUCUUGUGGAGGUCUUCCUCGUUGAGCUGUCGCGCCUGCCCACGGAUGAGCACUGCACCAAGCGCGAGGGCUACGUGCUCGGCGCCGGCUUCGGCCUUGGCCAGCUGCUGCUCGGCGUAGGCCAGUCGCACGGAGUGCAGCGCGUCGAGGACCGUCUGCUGGCCAUCAUGAGGGGUGAACCGCGCAGCGCCGCCGUGUCAACGCGCGAGGGUGUCGAGCACUUCGAAGAAACGAUGGGUCGCGGGGAGGCGGGGCAUUUCCUCACCCGUGCGCUGCUGUCGCAGGACGAGCGGGAGGCCACCUACAACGCAUGUGCGAGUGUCUACGAAGGCGACUGCUACAACGUGUUCGUGUCCGGCCCAGCGGCUGCUAUGGCGCUCGGCAUGAUGUAUCUGAGGACUGAUAGCGCGUUUAUCGCGUCAAGGAUGGCGCCGCCGAAUCGGCGCGCCGCUAUGCAGAAGUUGACGCCUCUGAUGUGCCACCUGCGGAGCAUGAUGGCCUCGCUGAUUGGCUGGAGCUCGAUCGAGCCAACGCGGCUGUGGCUCUACAACCAGGUGCCCUCCUCCUUGUUGGAGCUGACGCAAGCAUCGCUGCCGCGGCUCGCCACACAGCAGAUCAACUACUUGCUGAUGAAUCUUGCCCACUGUAUCGCCGGGCACGUGAUGGCGGUCGGGUUGCGGUUCGCAGGCACGAUGAACAGCACAGCGCGCGACCUCAUCUUCGCGGAGCUACAGGGCUUUCUCGCUGGCCGCGUUGGUUCCACCAAGGCCGCCACUCCCGCCGUACAGCGCGCGACAGGUGCGUAUGAGACGUGUCUGCUGGCCUGUGCGAAUGCGCUGAGUCUUGUCAUGGCGGGCACAGGGGACUUGAGGGCGUUAGCGCUGCUGCAGCAGUUGCACCGGCGCACAAAUGUGCCCUACGGCUCUCACAUGGCCAUCUCCAUGAGCAUCGGCUUGUUAUUCCUGGGAAGUGGGCGGUUGACACUGUGCAACAACAUCACCGCGGUGGCGGCGCUGCUCAUGGCAUUUUACCCGGUCUGGCCGAAGGACGCAGAGGACAACACGGGCCAUUUGCAAGCGCUGCGACACUUGUAUGGGCUGGCCGUGGUGCCGCGGGUCAUGGAGGCGGUGGAUGCCGUCAGUCACCAGCCUGUGUCGGUUCCUGUGCGCAUCGUUCUGCGCAAGAAGAAAUCUGCGGAAAUGGACGCCGAUGUGAGAGCUCAGCAGCGAACCUCGCGUGCUGCUGCUUCUGAUGCCGUGGAGCGCGCCGAGGACACCGAGCAGGCUAUCCACACUGUCACCCCGUGCCUAUACCCGCCAGUGGAGAUGAUUGAGCGGGUGGAGGUGCGCGGCACUCAAUACUACCCACUGGUGUUCUACGCCUUCAGCAAGGAGCUCACACAGUCGGCGGGUAUGCUGUUUCGCGUCAUGGCGAAGGAGAGCGCCUCCUCACCAGUCUACAGUCGAGGCGGCGGGCGUGCUCUCUCUACCAGGACCUCAAUCGAAUCCAGGCUGCUCGGCUGGCUGCAUCGACUCUUUCGCCAGAGCUCGACAACGAUGACCGAGGCACUCACCAUCAUUGACAGCGUGAAGCUAUUGUUACGGGUGCAACGCCCGCUCCUCUCCCGCACAACAGGGGGAGGUGAGCUGCUGCUCUCCGGCGACUUUGGGGAGGCCAUUGCGGAGGCGAUGGAGAGACGGUAUGCGUUCAUCUUCCUUCAUGGUGGCGUGCCGGCCGCCGAGGGUGUGUCGAGUGAUCCUCACCACCCACUUCGCCAGCUGAUUCUCGAGGGCAAAUCGCGCGCAGAGGUGUUUCAGUCCAUCGCCCGCCAUCCUCAGGGCACGGUGGCGUUUCCAUGUGACUUCACAGCCCUUUCCGUCGGUUGCGCCUCUCCGGCAAACGGGGGAGGAGGGACCACGAUGGCGCCGAUGUUGCCUGCAGAGCGGAACAUGUGCCCUGUCAUUGACACGGGUGCGCUGGCGCGCUGGAUGACAGAGGCGUUGCACUAUUACGGUAUAGGUCAGCGGGAGAUCGCGCUGCUCCGGCGAGCCUUCACGGCCUUUCCCACGUCUGCGGCUGGUAGCCCGAUGGGGACCAGCUGCGAGGGCUCAUCUUCGGUGCAGCGACUUACAGCCCUCCUGCGGUUGCAGGCGACGACGUUGCUGCCUCUUGCAACCCUCGAAAAGAUCUGGGCCUGCUGCGUCUACUGAGGCGUGUAUGCAUCGAGCGAGGAGCCCUCGUUGUAUGCGACUUGCAGGCGCAAACGAACGACACGACCAGAAAACAAGGAGAUGCCAGGGUGCAAGUGCGUGUGUGCGUUCUCACGGAUAGAAGGAAGCGACAUGAGGGGCCUACUGUUACUCGGAUAUUCAAUGCAGAACGGCGCAGACCGUCGGUGACGGGCGCGCUAACGGGCCCUCGAUACGCAAGCAGCUCUGCUUGCGCGUUUUGUCCAGCCCAGGCACCGUAGAUCACACCUGGAGAAAGGGCAGCAUAUAGAUAGGAGAAAGGAGUUGAAUCUACGGCC
rnacentral:misc_RNA from 1 species